rnacentral:misc_RNA from 1 species
GCGGAGGGAUCAUUACAAGUUGACCCCGGCCCUCGGGCCGGGAUGUUCACAACCCUUUGUUGUCCGACUCUGUUGCCUCCGGGGCGACCCUGCCUCCGGGCGGGGGCCCCGGGUGGACAUUUCAAACUCUUGCGUAACUUUGCAGUCUGAGUAAAUUUAAUUAAUAAAUUAAAACUUUCAACAACGGAUCUCUUGGUUCUGGCA